GACGAACGCUGGCGGCGUGCUUAACACAUGCCAGUCGAACGGAAAGGCUCUGCUUUUGCGGGGUGCUCGAGUGGCGAACGGGUGAGUAACACGUGAGUAACCUGCCCUUGACUUUGGGAUAACUUCAGGAAACUGGGGCUAAUACCGGAUAGGAGCUCCUGCUGCAUGGUGGGGGUUGGAAAGUUUCGGCGGUUGGGGAUGGACUCGCGGCUUAUCAGCUUGGUGGUGGGGUAGUGGCUUACCAAGGCUUUGACGGGUAGCCGGCCUGGGAGGGUGACCGGCCACAUUGGGACUGAGAUACGACCCAGACUCCUACGGGAGGCAGCGGUGGGGAAUAUUGCACAGUGGGCGGAAGCCUGAUGCAGCAACGCCGCGUGCGGGAUGACGGCCUUCGGGUUGUAAACCGCUUUCGCCUGUGACGAGGCGUGAGUGACGGUAAUGGGUAAAGAAGCACCGGCUAACUACGUG
rnacentral:rRNA from 1 species